CAGGUGGUGGCUGCUGCUGUAACUGGGACUGAGGGGGUUGAGACUGAAAAUUCGAAGGUCCACCGUAUGGGAAUUGAGUCGCUGUUACUCCCUUCACAAUCGGUCUGCCAACUGUUGAUAAGAUGAAUUAUCAUUAUGUGAAAUGAUUGUCUACUUUGAUAGUCGAAUAUUAAAGUAAUCAAUGGGACUGCAAAGAGAACACUUUUCGUACCCGGAUGCGGUUUAACUGGCUGAUUCGACCAAGUAGGCUGCUGAUUCGGUUGUGGUCUUACUGUGCCCUGUUGCGGCUGUCUCGAUAAGCCUUGAGUUAACAAUUGCACUGCAGACUGCAUCUGCUGCAUCUGGCUCGCCUGAGAUUGUGCUGCCAAUUUUGAUACCUCUGUGUUUCCUACAUUCAAAGAUUAUUAUUUUUAUUUAAUCUUACCUCACAAUUGCCUCUCUUAAAACUAAUGGUUCCAAUGACUAAGUUCAAGUUCAACUAUUGUAAGCAGUUAGAAACGACAGUUAAUCAUGUCUGUUUACAUUUGUGUUGUUUAGGUAGCAUAAAACAUUGAAUAUUUCAGGAAAGCAGAUUCUUAUUCGCGCAAAGUAAGAGGUCUAUAGAAAUUUAACGAGAUAACUUCUUUGCAGUGAAUUUUCAAAAAUCAAGAAUAAAAUCCAUGAUAUAUCCAGUUGAGUGUACUAGUAUUCGAAAUCUUUGUUGAAUACAUGCUAUGAAUGUUUAUUCUAAAGGUUCUUCACAUGGAGAAAUUUUUUGGAAAACUCUACUAUUUGCACAUAAAAGGGAUAAAGUAACAGCCAGGGAAAAAUUGUAAUGCUGGCACGAAAAAUUUUAUUGGAGAAAGCAUAAAUUAUUCUCCACAUUUCCAUGAAAUUUUCAUGGGAAUUCCGAGAAGUUUUACCACAACAGAACAAGAAUUUUUAAAUCAGUGACUUGUGAUUUUUCCCAGUUCUCUAUAGUGUUUCGAAAAAAUUCUCUCCAUGCAUUAUCAUCCUUUUAGUAACAAAUUCAAUAUUAGUCACUUGUAGAGCAAUAAUUAAAAAAAAUGUAAUAAAGCCUAUUUCUUUGUUAAACAAACUCUUGCAGACAGAAAGUUUUUCUGUUUUUUUUUCUGUAACUAUUUUCCCUCCCGAGUUUUAGAAAAUUUCACUUUAUUCUCUGUCAUUAUCAUAUACUGGGGGAUCUUUUGAGAUCAUUUUUUCAUUCGAAUUAAUCGCAAGCAAACGUUCAUGCUUUACAAAAUCGUGCAAAAAGCUAGGAUAGUAAGCAGAGAAAAGCAUGGUGAGUGUAGGAAUGUCAAGAUAAAGCGUUUUAUUGUAAAAGCCAGCAUUAAACACAUGUAUCAUUAUAGAUAGAUCAUAGAGCAUUGCAUUAUUCAGUAUAAAUCAUGUAUCCAUAACUAUGUGAUCAAUCAAGUUCCCUACUGCAUCAUAGUGAAAGGUUACCAUAAAUGAAAGAAAGCGUAAAGAUAGUAAAAAAAAAAUAGGAAAUCAAAAAGAUGGAGUGCAAAAAAACGUAAUAAA